AAAAAGACAAACAAUAGCUCCUCAAGACAGAUCAGGGAGCCACAAGGAGGCCUUGUCAGCUGGAUUUUCUGAACAGGCUAAGAAGUAAUUUAAGAGCCCAGGGACAAAAGGCCAAGCAGUCUGGUCAGCAUAUUGACCGGUUGACAGACAGCCAAGAGGAUUGGCUCUGCACUGUGACCCAGGUAAACAACGUCCCAGAUUACCAUCAGAUAAUCGAGGCUGAAGCCGGGCCACAAAGGUGACACUAGCGGACAGGAACUGUGACCUACAGAGCAAUCCGAGGAGACAAUCUAACAUCUAGAGUUCACCAGAGAAAAAGGAGAUGUGCUAUCUAAUUGUCUGCGGCAGAACUUCCUCAAGAGGACACAAUAAAAACAUUCCUGCUCAUUUUUCACCAUGCAGCUGAUGUUAUUAUCCAGACAUACCUGCAUUGUGCCCAAGACGGGGAUGUCUUUUUCUUGUACCAGCCAGUCGCUGGUCUAGUUCUUAAACACUUAUUCCCUCUGCCUCCAACUUAGCAACAUUUAACAGUGAGUCAUGAUCAGUUCGCCAAAAAGGAAAAGGAAGAUUAGGAAUGUCCUGAUUGGAUCUAAAAGAGUAUCCGGGUCACUCAAGGCAUUUUUUUUACUCAUGGUUAUUUGCUACUGAGCUACGCUGAGCCCAGCCCGAUCCUUUGUUUUGGUGUUUUCACUUGCAAAGCUUUCAUUGCAGGAACACACUAAGUGUUGUCAACUCUCUGUUGUAUAAGAGCAGAUGUGAGCCACGCUCACGAAGGAAACAUCAGAUACCACAAAUGACAGCAAAAAGCAGGAUGAGACUGUUUAUUUACCUAAUUUAUGUGAAUCGGUUUUUUUUUACACCGUGUUUGGUUCAUUGUAAGGGUACUUCUCUUUAAGCCUGCCUGCAAAUAAAUGAGCUAAACAACAUGCAGUAAACUAA